rnacentral:rRNA from 1 species
UACGGAGGGAGCUAGCGUUGUUCGGAAUUACUGGGCGUAAAGCGCACGUAGGCGGCUUUGUAAGUUAGAGGUGAAAGCCCGGGGCUCAACUCCUGAACUGCCUUUAAGACUGCAUCGCUUGAAUCCAGGAGAGGUGAGUGGAAUUCCGAGUGUAGAGGUGAAAUUCGUAGAUAUUCGGAAGAACACCAGUGGCGAAGGCGGCUCACUGGACUGGUAUUGACGCUGAGGUGCGAAAGCGUGGGGAGCAAACAGG